rnacentral:rRNA from 1 species
AGGGCUCACGGUGGAUGCCUUGGUGCUAGGCGGCGAUGAAGGGCGUGACAGACUGCGAUAAGCUUCGGGUAGUUGUUUAUAUGCUUUGAUCCGAAGAUCCCCGAAUCGGGCAACCGGGUAAGUAUUAUUACUUACCGUCUGUACGGUAACAGUACAGACGCCAACCAGGAGAAGUGAAACAUCUCAGUAUCCUGAGGAAGAGAAAGAAAACUCGAUUUCCUGAGUAGCGGCGAGCGAAACGGAAACAGCCUAAACCAGACGUACACGUACGCCUGGGGUCGUGGGACCCUCACAAAAGAUAACAGUUUUUUAACUUAAUGUCCCUGGGAUAGGGCGACCAGAGAAGGUUACAGUCCUGUGAGUAAAAAGAAACUUGUGUCUUGAGGGGAUCCCGAGUACCACGCGGAUAGACUAAACCUGUGGGAAUCCAGGAGGACCACCUCCUAAGGCUAAAUACGUCCUAGCAACCGAUAGUGAACAAGUACUGUGAAGGAAAGGUGAAAAGUUCCCCUGUUAGGGAAGUGAAAUAGAACCUGAAACCGUGAGCUUACAAGCUGUGGAAGUGCGAGAUCGGGCAACCGAUGUGCAUGACCGCGUGCCUUUUGCAUAAUGAGCCGGUGACUUACUUUGCGUAGCAAGAUUAAGCUUUUUUGAAGUGUAGUCGUAGCGAAAGCGAGUCUGAAUAGGGCGAUAAGUUGCGUUGAGUAGACCCGAAACUGGGUGAUCUAUCCAUGGGCAGAAUGAAGCAUGUGUAAAAACAUGUGGAGGUUCGAACCCACCAGGGCUGAAAACCUGGGGGAUGACCUGUGGAUCGGAGUGAAAGGCUAAUCAAACCCAGUGAUAGCUGGUUCUCCUCGAAAUAGCUUUAGGGCUAGCCUCAUGUGUUUGGCAGUGGUGGUAGAGCUCUGGUUGGACUAGCGGGACUACCAUCUUAGCAACUCCAGUCAAACUGCGAAUGCCAUUGUCUUAGAACAUGGGAGUCAGUCUACGGGGGAUAAGCUCCGUUGACGAAAGGGAAACAGCCCAGACCGCCAGUUAAGGUCCCAAAAUACAAGUUAAGUGGAAAAGGAUGUGUUGUUACACAGACAACCAGGAUGUUGGCUUAGAAGCAGCCAUUCAUUUAAAGAGUGCGUAACUGCUCACUGGUCAAGUGACUUUGCACCGAAAAUGUAACGGGGCUAAACUUGUUACCGAAACUGCGGAUUUUAGUAUUACUAGAGUGGUAGAGGAGCGUUCUAUUGUAGGACGAAGGUAGAUCGAAAGACUUACUGGACGAACUAGAAGUGACCAUGCCGGCAUGAGUAGCGAUAAAACAUGUGAGAAUCAUGUUCACCGAAAACCUAAGGUUUCCCAUGCGAGGCGAAUCCGCACGGGGUUAGUCGUAUCCUAAGGCGAGGCCGAAAGGCGUAGUCGAUGGCAAUCAGGUUUAUAUUCCUGAACCACCGGGUGAGUGUGAAACACAAAGAGACGCAAGUUUAAGGGCUGAAUAGGAGAUGGCUCCGAAGCGUCAAGGACCUUUUAUUUUACAAAAGGUUUCAGCUUGAUUUCUUGCCAAGAAAAUCUUUGUGUGGACGAACUUUGGUGUGCGUACCGUAAACCGACACAGGUAGGUGAGGAGAGAAUCCUAAGGUGCUCGAGAGAACUCUGGCUAAGGAACUCGGCAAAAUGAUCCCGUAACUUCGGAAGAAGGGAUGCUCGAAAGAGCCGCAGUGAAAUGGCCUAUGCGACUGUUUACUAAAAACACAGGUCUGUGCUAAAUCGUAAGAUGACGUAUACGGACUGACGCCUGCCCGGUGCCGAAAGGUUAUGGUGAGGGGUGAAGGAGUAAUCUGGAAGCUCUGAACCGAAGCCUCGGUAAACGGCGGCGGUAACUAUAACCGUCCUAAGGUAGCGAAAUUCCUCGUCGGGUAAAAUCCGACCUGCACGAAUGGCGUAACGACAUAGGCACUGUCUCGGCCAGAGACUCGGCGAAAUUGUAAUACCGGUGAAGAUGCCGGUUACCCAUAGAAAGACGGAAAGACCCCGUGAACCUUUACUAUAACCUGAUAUUGGGUUUUGGUGUAGCAUGUGUAGGAUAGGUGGGAGACUUUGAAGCUGGAGCGCUAGCCUCAGUGGAGUCGUCCUUGAAAUACCACUCUUGUUGCUCUGGAAUUCUAACUUUGGUUCGUGUAUCCGGAUCAAGAACAGUGUCAGGCGGGUAGUUUGACUGGGGCGGUCGCCUCCCAAAUCGUAACGGAGG